GGGGAGGAAUAGAAACAUGAAAGGGGGGUGCUAAGACUCCCCGCACUUUAUUCUUUCACUUUUGUUGUAAAUAUCUUUUUAUCUUAUCUUUGAGAUUCUUUGUGGGUUGCUUCUUUCCUGUUUGUUCUACUGUUGCCUAGCAACUCAGGGCCCAAAGAGUCAGCUCCAUGAUGCUCGCCUUGGCCAUGCCAGAGGUAGAGGUUUGGGUUUUGAGAGCUGAAUUUCCUCCACUUAUCACCUCCCUGCAGGGCUUGGGCAUCUUGCUUGAUGAAGCUAGGCAAGUGUGGAUGGCCACCCUCCUCCUGUCUUUCUCAAGAAUGUUGAGGCUUACGUCAAGGAGGGUGUGUUCGACAGAAGAAACACCAAAUGAGGGCUAUUGAAAACAUUCAGUGGGCUGGAGAGAUGGCUCAGCUGUUAAGAGCACCCAACUACUCGUCCAGAGGUCCUGAGUUCAAUUCCCAGCAACCACAUGGUGGCUCACAACCAUCUGUAAAGAGAUCUGAUGCCCUCUUCUGGUGUAUCUGAAGACAGCUACAGUGUACUUAUAUAUAAUAAAUGAAUAAAUCUUUAAAAGAAAUAAAAAUGAAAAAAAAAAGAAAAAGAAAACAUUCAGUAUCUUAAUUUCAAGAGCUCCUUGAGUUAUCUUGUAUCUGAGGAUAUCAGAGAGACAUGAAAGGCACAAAACGUAUGCAAGGUCUGAUGCUGGUUGGCUAUGCUGAGGAAGAAGCAGUCGCAUAGAUUUCUGUGUUCUCCAUGUUGAGAUCUUUUCAUCUCCUCUCUUCUCCUGAUCUGAGAAUCCCAUGCAAAGCUUGGCCUGUAGUACGUGAGGACUUCAGUACAGCGCACCACAGCCCAGCCCCUGUUUCAUUGAGACAGGGUCUUUUCAUGUG
rnacentral:lncRNA from 1 species